AGAGUUUGAUCCUGGCUCAGAUUGAACGCUGGCGGCAUGCCUAACACAUGCAAGUCGAACGGAAACGAUGCUAGCUUGCUAGCAGGCGUCGAGUGGCGGACGGGUGAGUAAUAUAUAGGGAUCUGCCUAAUAGUGGGGGACAACGUGUGGAAACGCACGCUAAUACCGCAUACGCUCUACGGAGGAAAGUGGGGGAUCUUCGGACCUCAUGCUAUUAGAUGAACCUAUAUCGGAUUAGCUUGUUGGUGAGGUAAUGGCUCACCAAGGCGACGAUCCGUAGCUGGUUUGAGAGAAUGAUCAGCCACACUGGGACUGAGACACGGCCCAGACUCCUACGGGAGGCAGCAGUGGGGAAUAUUGCACAAUGGACGAAAGUCUGAUGCAGCAAUGCCGCGUGUGUGAAGAAGGCCUUCGGGUUGUAAAGCACUUUCAGAUGUGAGGAAAAGCAACCUAUUAAUACUAGGUUGCCGUGACGUUAACAUCAGAAGAAGGACCGGCUAACUCCGUGCCAGCAGCCGCGGUAAUACGGAGGGUCCAAGCGUUAAUCGGAAUUACUGGGCGUAAAGCGCGCGUAGGCGGAUAAUUAAGUCAGAUGUGAAAUCCCUGGGCUCAACCUAGGAACUGCAUUUGAUACUGGUUAUCUAGAGUAUGGUAGAGGUGAGUGGAAUUUCAGGUGUAGCGGUGAAAUGCGUAGAGAUCUGAAGGAACAUCAGUGGCGAAGGCGACUCACUGGGCCAUUACUGACGCUGAGGUGCGAAAGCGUGGGUAGCAAACAGGAUUAGAUACCCCGGUAGUCCACGCCCUAAACGAUGAGAACUAGCUGUUGGGUACGUAAAUGUACUCAGUAGCGAAGCUAACGCGUUAAGUUCUCCGCCUGGGGAGUACGACCGCAAGGUUGAAACUCAAAGGAAUUGACGGGGGCCCGCACAAGCGGUGGAGCAUGUGGUUUAAUUCGAUGCAACGCGAAGAWCCUUACCAUCCCUUGACAUCCUGCGAAUUUUCUAGAGAUAGAUUAGUGCCUUCGGGAACGCAGUGACAGGUGCUGCAUGGCUGUCGUCAGCUCGUGUCGUGAGAUGUUGGGUUAAGUCCCGUAACGAGCGCAACCCUUGUCCUUAGUUGCCAGCACGUAAUGGUGGGAACUCUAAGGAGACUGCCGGUGACAAACCGGAGGAAGGUGGGGACGACGUCAAGUCAUCAUGGCCCUUACGACCUGGGCUACACACGUGCUACAAUGGCCGGUACAAAGGGCUGCUAACCCGCGAGGGGGCGCUAAUCCCAGAAAACCGGUCGUAGUCCGGAUUGGAGUCUGCAACUCGACUCCAUGAAGUCGGAAUCGCUAGUAAUCGUGAAUCAGAAUGUCACGGUGAAUACGUUCCCGGGCCUUGUACACACCGCCCGUCACACCAUGGGAGUGGGUUGCAAAAGAAGUGGGUAGUCUAACCUUCGGGAGGACGCCCACCACUUUGUGAUUCAUGACUGGGGUGAAGUCGUAACAAGGUAACC
rnacentral:rRNA from 1 species